AGUGAACGCUGGCGGUAGGCCUAACACAUGCAAGUCGAACGGCAGCACAGUAAGAGCUUGCUCUUACGGGUGGCGAGUGGCGGACGGGUGAGGAAUACAUCGGAAUCUACUUUUUCGGGGGGGAUAACGUAGGGAAACUUACGCUAAUACCGCAUACGACCUACGGGUGAAAGCAGUGGAUCUUCGGACCUUGCGCGAUUCAAUGAGCCGAUGUCGUAUUAGCUAGUUGGCGGGGUAAGGGCCCACCAAGGCGACGAUCCGUAGCUGGUCUGAGAGGAUGAUCAGCCACACUGGAACUGAGACACGGUCCAGACUCCUACGGGAGGCAGCAGUGGGGAAUAUUGGACAAUGGGCGCAAGCCUGAUCCAGCCAUACCGCGUGGGUGAAGAAGGCCUUCGGGUUGUAAAGCCCUUUUGUUGGGAAAGAAAAGCAGCAGGUUAAUCCCCCGCUGUUCUGACGGUACCCAAAGAAUAAGCCCCGGCUAACUUCGUG
rnacentral:rRNA from 1 species